rnacentral:lncRNA from 1 species
UUAGAUAGCAGUGAUGAUAUAUCCUGCUUGUUAACCAUGGGAAAUUCUAGUCAGAAGCUGGAAAAGACCACCAGUGUGAGGACACCUAGAUUCUUACUCUUUGGUCAGCCAAUACUCACUGAGCAGCAGAUGUCACAUGGCUACAAUAGUGAUGCAGUUUCUCAAGUAGGGAAAAGUUCAGCAUGUGGGAUAUCAUUGAAGGCAGAAGAUGUUUCACUUGAUCAAAAAGUUCACAUGGAUAGCCUGCCCAAUACUGGAUUGUUUUGGAAUCAAGGAUGUCAUGCAGCUGAACUUGGCCUUGAUACUGGUCACUGCAAAGUGUUCUUGGAAUCGGAAGAUGUUGGCAGGACUCUUG